UACUUAAGGAAUUGGCAAACAUGUUUAGAAGUUGGUUUAUUUAUGCAUUAAUUGCCAUCCAUUGGCGUAGUGUUUUAUGUGAAUUUUAUUUUCUAAUCUUCGUACUGUGAUCCAGGCGUUUCAAAGCAAACAGCUCUUUUUAAAAAGGUCUUCGCACGUGCAUCAUUUCGUAAAGGCAUAAAGGCUUUAAAGUAGAUGUCUUUUGAUGCACAAUUGAAAGGCGUACACGACGUACAUGUUUAAAAGAUGCUCAUAUUCGACUCAGUUGUGCUUACUGCAAUUCAACGAUAAAUGUGCUACUUACCAUGAUGGCGAAGGUGUAAAAAAAACGUAGCCCCAAGAAAUGGUUUCCGAAAAUUCUCUAAUGAAGUUGACUUAUCGCAUAAUAUGUGGCACAAAAUUUAACACAUUGAUAUCGGAAUGUCUCGCGGAAUGUUUUCAUCCAGUGUUGAUGACGUUAAUUUAUGAGAAGACGUGGAUACGUCUUAUUGUACCUAUGUAGGCAAAUAAAAUGAACCUUACGGUGAUGGUUUAAUGAGCAUGACUAUUGCUCGGGCAACGUUGGAAUAGAUAUUUGAAUACAUGAACCCGAGCGUUCAACUGAGCUUGAUAAAUUAAUUUUUUUUAAUUAAUUAAUUGUGAUUAUUGUUUAGUGAUCCAUUAAA